rnacentral:rRNA from 1 species
UACGUAGGUGGCGAGCGUUGUCUGGAUUUAUUGGGUUUAAAGGGUGCGUAGGCGGCCCUAUAAGUCAGUGGUGAAAUAUCGCAGCUCAACUGUGAGGGUGCCAUUGAUACUGUAGGGCUUGAGUGAAUUUGAGGUAGGCGGAAUUGACGGUGUAGCGGUGAAAUGCUUAGAUAUCGUCAAGAAACACCGAUAGUGAAGACAGCUUACCAAGCUUCAACUGACGCUGAGGCACGAAAGUGUGGGGAUCAAACAGG